rnacentral:rRNA from 1 species
CCUACGGGAGGCAGCAGUGAGGAAUAUUGGUCAAUGGACGAGAGUCUGAACCAGCCAAGUAGCGUGAAGGAUGACUGCCCUAUGGGUUGUAAACUUCUUUUAUAUGGGAAUAAAAUGUUCCACGUGUGGGAUUUUGUAUGUACCAUAUGAAUAAGAAUCGGCUAACUCCGUGCCAGCAGCCGCGGUAAUACGGAGGAUCCGAGCGUUAUCCGGAUUUUUUGGGUUUAAAGGGAGCGUAGGUGGAUUGUUAAGUCAGUUGUGAAAGUUUGCGGCUCAACCGUAAAAUUGCAGUUGAAACUGGCAUUCUUGAGUACAGUAGAGGUGGGCGGAAUUCGUGGUGUAGCGGUGAAAUGCUUAGAUAUCACGAAGAACUCCGAUUGCGAAGGCAGCUCACUGGACUGCAACUGACACUGAGGCUCGAAAGUGUGGGUAUCAAACAGGAUUAGAUACCCCAGUAGUC